GGAUGUGAGGGCAAUCUGGCUGUGGCAUCUGUCACCCCACCGACUGCCAGNGUUGAUCUGACUAGCUUGGUGGGUGUCCCCUUCCUCCCUCAGCACAGCACACACAUCCUCCAGAACUGAAGUCUCUAGUCAANCAUACACACGUAGCUGCAUUCCCUGGCUAGAACCCCCAGNUAAAUGCUCAGAACACAGUUCUUUAUUCUAAAAUAGAGCAUUAUUUUACACUUAGGCUUUUAGGGUGUUCCUGGCAAAUUUU
rnacentral:snRNA from 1 species